UUGUAAUGAUGAAUCACUAUUCACCAUCUUUCGACUGAAACUUUGUGAUGGUAUAUUUUUUACCUGAUGCAUGAU